ensembl:lncRNA
AUGGAUCCCGCCUCUUCACCCGCUCUGAAAACAGACGCUCGUCUGAAGCUGAAAGUCGAACACAGAAAGAAAAACGUGUUUGUAACGCAGCUGGAGGAGCACAGAGAGCAGACCGAGGAGCACGUCCAGCACAUCCCGGUGAUAACAGAGUCCUCCAGCGGGCUCCUGGACACCGGGGUCCACACACUGCAGACCACACUAGUCCUGAAGAAGCGCUCCGAGGUGGACGCAGUGGACACACGGCUGAUGGACACACGGCAGGAGGUUCAGAGGAGCAUGAAGAUCCUGCAGCAGAGACGAGCGCAGCUGCAGCAGAGACAGACGGAGACGAAACACAGGGCAGCAAGAUUUGAGAAGUUUGUGGAGGAGAACGAGGUGAAACGUCGCCGUGCGCUGAAGAAGUUCCAGACGGAGAGAGAGCAGAACCAAGUGAAAGAACAGGAGAAAGCUGAGCUCUUCAAACAACUCCAGGACUUACAAGCCAGGCGUCUGUAUUUACAGGAGCGAGUGAACAAAUACAAGAUAUUCGAGGAGUUUCUGAUGAAGACUCUCGAUUUACUUCCAGACAAGUAUGUGGGCUACGGGACGGACCUGGUGACGCCGAUCAUCAGACGCUACGAGACGCUGACCGUCAGCCGAGAGGACCUCCUGCAGCAGCUGUCCAGCCUGACGGACGAGAUGAAGUCCAGCCAGAACCACAUGGAGUCCCUCAGACAGCAGCACAGCACCUUUAAACUGAUGACCAACCAGGAGCUGUCCGAGCGGCAGACACAGCUGGAUCAACUGAAAGAGAAGAACAAACAGCUGGAAAUGAUGCUCCACAUGCACCUGGGCCAGUCCAGAGACCAGGUGGAGGAGGUCGGGAACAUUUUGAUCGCGGUGAAGAACCUGUCGGAGCAGUGUUACCUGAGUCACUACGGAGCGCUGGACCUCAUGGACACCUCCUCCAUGAUGGACAUGAUAAAGGAAUUCAUCGUAGAGAAAGCCGACAUGGAGAGGAGAGCCACGAGACUCGUAGCCAGCAGCGGCGCGACUGUGAAGAGAACGACCCCGAAGAAGAAGACCCCCAGCAGAAGCGGAGCGCUGACCGCACCGAAGACCCUGCCGUAGACCAGUCCAGCUCACUACAUCUGCUCGUGUAGCGUUCAUGAAGAAACAGCUUUAUAGAGACGAUCAAACACUUCUGUUCAAAUGUUUUUAUUCUUCAGCUUGAAAAUAACUGCUUUAUCAGUAAUUCUGUGAAAUCAUUAAAACAUUAUUUAACAAGGACAGUGUGACAUUUCAGUUCAACCUGAAGCUCAUUUUUACAAGAUUUUCAACUUUGACCAUCGGCAGAAGAGAAUCAAACAACACGAGCGUGAGUAAAUGCUUCGGGUGACAGAAGAAAAUCAGACAGAUUUAACACUAGAAGAGUCAUUAAAAUGUAGAAAAAUUGAGGGAAAAUAAAUGCACAUAAAUUUUGGAUUCCA